rnacentral:rRNA from 1 species
UACGUAGGGUGCGAGCGUUAAUCGGAAUUACUGGGCGUAAAGCGUGCGUAGGUGGUUCGUUAAGUCUGAUGUGAAAGCCCUGGGCUCAACCUGGGAAUUGCAUUGGAUACUGGCGGGCUAGAGUACGGUAGAGGGUGGCGGAAUUCCUGGUGUAGCAGUGAAAUGCGUAGAUAUCAGGAGGAACAUCCGUGGCGAAGGCGGCCACCUGGACCAGUACUGACACUGAGGCACGAAAGCGUGGGGAGCAAACAGG